rnacentral:rRNA from 1 species
GCAUAAUCAUUAGUUUCUUAAUUGGGAACUGGAAUGAAUGGUCAAACAAAGAAAGAACUGUCUUUUUCAUUAAAAUUGAAAUUAACUUCCAAGUGAAAAGGCUUGGAUUUACUAAGGGGACGAUAAGACCCUAUAAAGCUUUAUAAGUUUAGGAAUUUUAAAUAUUUUGUAGAUAAAUUUAUUUUCCAAUAUCUUAUUUGGUUGGGGCGACAAAGGUAUAAUUAUGAAUAACUGCUAUUAUCAACAAUACAUCUAUCGUUGGCUAAAAUUUAUAAUAAUUGAUCCUCUUUAGAGAUUAAAAGAUCAAGUUACUUUAGGGAUAACAGCAUAAUUUUUCCUGAGAGUUCUUAUCAAAGGAGAAGUUUGUGACCUCGAUGUUGAAUUAAAAUGUCUUUAUAGUGCAGCAGCUAUAAAAGAAGGUCUGUUCGACCUUUAAUUUUUU